AUGGAUCCUUGUAGGGAGGAGCGACCGUUGUGUGCUCAGUUCCCUGUUUGUUUCAACGUGUGUAAUAAUCAAGAGAUUACUGUGGCUAAAUUUUGGGAGAGUGUGGAUGAAAACUUUUUUAGAAGACGAUUACACCCUCCUCUUCUUGACCAAUGGAGAGAGGUGCAAGCUAGGGUGAGGGCUUGGCCUCUCUCUAAUGAUCCUGAUCAAGUCGUUUGGACCCUGGGGAAGAAAAGAAAGUUCACUACUAAAUCUGUAUACGAUUACCUGGAGAGGAACCUAGCUGGGUGCAAUUACAAGUGGAUAUGGAGAGCGAAAAUUCCUCUUAAAAUGCAAAUUUUUCUAUGCCAAUUACUCCAGACUUUUGUUCUGACCAGGGAUGUCAUGAGCAGACGUGGGUGGCUGGGAAGGCCUGUGUGUCCAUUAUGUAAUAAUAGAGAAACUUCUCAACAUCUCUUUUUUACCUGUCUGGUUGCUAGAGUUGUGUGGAGGACAGUGGGAUGUGUUUUGGGCACGGAUAGAUGUCCUAACAAUAUUUGGCAAUAUUUUGCUUGGUGUUACUGUUUUAUUCCUGGUGGGGAGAGGUUCUAUACCUUUGGCCUAGCUGCUCUUUGCUAG
rnacentral:rRNA from 1 species